rfam:Populus trichocarpa scaffold_6_contig_117, whole genome shotgun sequence.
UCUAGAACUCGAGAUAUUGGUUGAACACUAAACAGUGUCUGGCUGGAGGACAGAUUCUGACUUCUUUUUUGUUGCUACAAUUUGAACUUGAAAACGGACCUUUUGAAUUUUGGACUCUUCAUGAAAGUUUUAGGCCUAUGUCUUAGCUGUCUAUC